UACGUAGGGUGCGAGCGUUGUCCGGAAUUAUUGGGCGUAAAGAGCUCGUAGGCGGUUCGUCGCGUCGGCUGUGAAAUCCCGAGGCUCAACCUCGGGUCUGCAGUCGAUACGGGCGGACUGGAGUUCGGCAGGGGAGACUGGAAUUCCUGGUGUAGCGGUGAAAUGCGCAGAUAUCAGGAGGAACACCGGUGGCGAAGGCGGGUCUCUGGGCCGAUACUGACGCUGGAGGAGCGAAAGCCGUGGGGAGCGAACAGG
rnacentral:rRNA from 1 species